GGAAACAUUCUUGUUUAUAUUAUCUUUAUCAUCUUGCAUGCCUGCAGGUAUUUAAGCAGUUUUGGAGGUGGAUUCUUCUUUGGUAUCCCAACUGUGCAUAUGCGAAGAAGAUGAUGAAGAACAUGAUGGCGAAUCCUAUGAUGUCUUUAGCACAGCGGGACAGAGUAGAAGACAACUGAGUCAUGGUCUUGUUAAAGCUUAUGAAUUUAAAUAUCUGGAAGACAACAGAAAAUGUUAGAAAAUAUAUGGAUGAAACUAACCCCUAAUGACAGACUUGACAUGGAACUGUUUAAAGCAAUGUCCACUUAUUUGUGAAGAAAUCAUUAUGAAACUGCAUAAAUACAGGUUGAGUAUCCCUUAGCUGGAAAUCCGAACUGCUCAAAAAUCCAAAAUUGUCCACAUGGACGGCUGAGAAAAUUACACCUUUGCUUUCUGGUGGUUCAAUGCAUACAAACUUUGUUUCAUGCACAAAAUUGUUAAAAUAUUGUGCAUAACAUUACUUUCAGGCUAUGGGUAUAAUGGAAUUUUACAUUUACAUUUGGGUCCCAUCUCCACAAUCUCGUGAUGUACACACAAAUAUUCCAGAAUCUGAACAAAUACAAAACCCAAAACAUGUCUAGUCCCACAUAUUUUGGAUAAAGGAUAAUCAAGCUGUAGUUGUAGACCUGUAUUUUAUAAUACUUGAGAACGAAAGAUGCAAAUAGGCAAUUGUACUAUAUUCAACUUGUAUUAAGUUAGGAUUGAAAUAAAAAGUUGCAUAAUUA